GGGCUCGUAGCUCAACCUGGUCAGAGCAGCGGACUCAUAAUCCGUAGGUUGCAGGUUCAAAUCCUGCCGGGCCCACGA
rnacentral:tRNA from 1 species